rnacentral:lncRNA from 1 species
CCGGUUCACCACCUGAACCACGGGCCGCCGCUCCACGCCACACAGCACUACGGCGCGCACGCCCCGCACCCCAAUGUCAUGCCGGCCAGUAUGGGAUCCGCUGUCAACGACGCCUUGAAGCGGGACAAGGACGCGAUCUAUGGGUAAACUGACCCCCCGGACCCAGCUUACUGUGUGUGAGUGUGAGAGUGUGUGUUUGUCGCUUUUCUCCUUGAAGCCUCAUACAUUUUACUUCUCCAUUCAGUUUUGUAUUUAUUUACAAACACUUUAUACAUUUCACCCCACUGGCCCCAUGGAAGAACCAUGUGCCAUGUGGAAUCAUUUAAAUAGGGAAAUAACACCAAUUCACCGAGACUUAUUAAGUAUUCUCUUAUAGGUAGGUCCCUCAUGGAAAUGCCAUAAUGGUUUAAAAUGUUACAAUUCCAGUGUAUCUGCAACUUCAAC